UGGGGAAUAUUGCACAAUGGGCGCAAGCCUGAUGCAGCCAUGCCGCGUGUAUGAAGAAGGCCUUCGGGUUGUAAAGUACUUUCAGCGGGGAGGAAGGGAGUAAAGUUAAUACCUUUGCUCAUUGACGUUACCCGCAGAAGAAGCACCGGCUAACUCCGUGCCAGCAGCCGCGGUAAUACGGAGGGUGCAAGCGUUAAUCGGAAUUACUGGGCGUAAAGCGCACGCAGGCGGUUUGUUAAGUCAGAUGUGAAAUCCCCGGGCUCAACCUGGGAACUGCGUCUGAUGAUGGCAAGCUUGAGUCUCGUAGAGGGGGGUAGAAUUCCAGGUGUAGCGGUGAAAUGCGUAGAGCUCUGGAGGAAUACCGGUGGCGAAGGCGGCCCCCUAGCCGAAGACUGACGCUCAGGUGCGAAAGAGUGGGGAGCAAACAGG
rnacentral:rRNA from 1 species